CCGACCUUAGCUCAGUUGGUAGAGCGGAGGACUGUAGUAGGCUUGACUAUAGCAGCAAAUCCUUAGGUUGCUGGUUCGAAUCCGGCAGGUUGGA
rnacentral:tRNA from 1 species